UUUUUUUUUUUUUGUUAAAGAUUUUAUUUAUCCAUUUGACACAGAGAGAGAGAGCACAAGCAGGGGGAGCAGCAGGCAGAGAGAGAGGGAAAAGCAGGCUCCAGGUGAAGCAGGGAGCCUGAUAACAGUGCUCGAUCACAGGACCUCAGGAUCAUGACCUGAGCCAAUGGCAGAUGCUCAACCAGCUAAGCCACCCAAGUGCCCUGCCUGAUUUUUUAAAAUGCUGGUUUAGAUUUCUAAAACUAUUACCCACAAUUGUCAAAUGGCCAGAAAUUCUGAACAAGUAUCUUAUAAUCCUGUGAGUUCUCACAAUAAAAAUGACCCCAAAAUUUAGUUGAGGCACUUGUACUACUAUGAAGUCCCUAAACACUAAAAGAUUACCCAGUUCCACACUUUACUUAGAGGUCAGAAAGGGAAAAAACAAAUUAAAUAUUGUCAGCAUUUAGGACCCAUCACAUAACUAGAAAUACUCUCCCUAAAAAUGUUCAUCAUUUUAGCUAACACGUAUUGAAUGCUUACAAUGGACCAGGUUUUUCUAAGGGUUUAUAAUUUUUAUUGCAUAUAAAUCAACAAUAAUUCAAAAAGGCAAGUACUACCAUGAUGCUCACUUUACCACUGAAGAAACCAAGGCUCUGAAAGGUUAGAUAACUUGCCAGAGGCUAACAAGUAGUUAACAGAAAAGCUAGCAGUAGAAGCCAUGUAGUCUAUUCCUUUGACAGUAUUAUCUAAAGGGGUUAUACAUUGAGGCACUGGUUGGCACAGUUGGUAGAGCAUAUGACUCUUGAUCUUGGGGUUGUAAGUUCAAGCCCAAGGUAGGUGUAGAGUUUACUUAAAUAAAAAUAAACAAAAUAAAGAGGAUAUGGAUUCUACAUCUUAAUACAUCAACAUUCACUCAAUAGACUCAGUUAAUAUGCACAACUCUAGUAGUCUUACCCUUACUUUUCUGUCCUUUUUCCAAUUGAAAAUCCUGAGCAACAGCAGUUAAGAUGCUUAUAGCAAAAGCUAUCAUUUCAUGUUGAAAAAGAAGGGGAGAAAAUUCUAUGAACUAUAAAAAAGUGAUUGCAUUUCCAGGAUAGUAGCAAACCAUAUACCCCUAGGUUACCUUGUUGUGGUCAUAAAGUCUGCCAGUUACAACACUAUUUCUGUAACUUUUGUAGCCUUGGACUACAGUUUACUAUUAUUGACCUCAAAGCUAAUCACUGUAUCUAUCUCCACUCUAACAAAAACCACUUUAGGAUAAGUGCAAGAGCUAAGUCUUCAUUUGGUGCAAGGAUAACUCAGGCUUCCAAUUUCUGUUUCUAUUUCCACCUUGGUAUAAGUGCCAUAUCUUUCAGCAGACAUAAUCAUAUAAGCCAUUAAUGGGUAUCACCUCAGGAGGAGUCAGAGGAUGAGAUCCAACACAAAGCCUCUUCUGCAAUCUCCCACCAGCAUUAGAGAGCCCAUUAAUCCUAGGCAGUUCUGCUUUCCUUCAAAGAGAUAAAGGAGCUCCUAUUUCCAAGGAGAUCAGGGAUAGAUGAGGUGAGAGGCAGCAAUGACUUUUAUAGUGACAAGAAUAUUUAUUACCUAGUAAUAAAAGUAUUCUUGUGUUUUAAUAUAAUUAUUCUGAUGCCAUAUCAAAAUAGCUACAUCAAAAUAACUCCAGUUUCUAAAAUGGCUAUAUCUAAUUAUUCCCUAGACUUCUGAUUCUGUGAUAAGAUGGAGGAGGAAAUGUACUUCUCCAUAUUCCUUUCACUAAGUAUAAUUACCAACCAUAAACAUUAUAUAUAAAAACAUAAGAUGACUCUGAGAGGUGGAGAGAAUAAAGACCAGGUAGGGACCUUGAGACUUAUGGAAUGGCAUGAUGUUAAAUUCCCUUAGUUUUCCUUUUGCCUAAUAUAUCCUGGAUUGGAUGCAGUAGAAUCUUGUAACCAGGACACACCCAUGAAUGUAGACUAAAAAUGCUCCAAGUAAAACCUGUUGUCUCUAGCCAAAGGACCAGGAUAAAGGCAGCCUAGUAAGACAGAAAACUUUUAGACAAUAAUCACCUUAUUCUAGCCAAGUAUCAUGGGAUAAAAAUUGUGGUUACACACUACCCAUGACAGAAUAAGCCAGGUAGGAAACAUAGACUUCUACCUUUACAAAGCUAUAACUAGUCAUCUCUUCCCCUAUACUAGGUUGGUGACAAAAAAGGGCAGAGUAGACAGCCAGAAUUUUCAUUCUGACCAGUGGUAAAGAGGCCACCCCCCCUUCCAUGGUGAUGGUAGAGACCAUGUCAGGAGCAGUAAUGAGACACCCUUUCUCCUCUCAGCCAAGGUAAUGUCAGCAGACUUGAAAUUUUAUCCCUGUCCAAAAAUAAGGCUCUUACUCGUAGAAUGUUAAAGGAGGCCUAGUAGGAAAUAUGCAUUUCCAUCCCUAAUUGGCAGUAAUGAGGCAACAUACCAUUUCCCACACUUGUGUGGUAACUGAGGAGUCCUAUAAAAGUUUAAUAAGAUCCAGAGUCUCAUAACAUAAUAGCCCCAAUUACCGGGAUACACAAAUAUAAUCAUUUAUCAUACUAAGAAUCAGGAAAAUCUGAAUGAGGAAAAGAAAACCAUCAGAUUAAAACAAGAAGACACAAAGAAUAGAAUUAUGUGACAAGGAUGACAGUCAUCAUAGUGUUUCAAUGAAAAAUUGUGUAGAAGGUUGACAAAAAUGAAAAGUUAGAAAGUCCCAAAGUUCCCAUCAAAUAUAGUGUCCCAGUAAAAGAAAAAAAAUAGAAGACAUAAAGAAAAAUCAAAUUUCAGAACUGGAAAUAUAAUUACCAAAAUGAAAAAUUGCUAGAAGGAGCCAACAGCAGAACAGUGUUGAUAGGGAAAAGAAUGGGUGGAUAUAAAGAUAGGAUAGUAGAAAUUACCCAUUCUGAGAAAUAUGAGCAGGAACUCGGGAAGACAGCUUAUCAAACCUGCCACAGUGACAAAAACAAACUCUGUUUGAAGACCCAGUGUCAGUAAAUUCACCAACAUGAUGAUGAAAGAAGGAAACAAAGUACUAGCCAAAUCCCUAAUGAUGCAGACUCUAGAAGCUGUGAAAAAGGAGUUUGAGAAGUACCAUGCUGCUUCUGCAUAGGAAUAGGCAACCAUCCAAUGCAACCCCUACACCAUCUUCCACCAAGCACUGAAAAACUAUGAGCCUGUGAUUGGGCUGGUACCCAUCUUCAGAGAUGGCCAUUUCUACCAAGUCCCUGUGCCACUAACUGAUCAGCAUCAUUGCUUCCUGGUCAUGAAGCAGAUGAUUACUGAGUUCAGAGAGAAGAAACACUGGUGGAUGCUGAUGCCAGAGAAGUUGUCAAAUAAGCUGCUGGAGGCUUUUCACAGACAGGGCCCUGUGAGCAAGAAGAAGCUUGACAUGCACAAAAUGGCCAAGGCCAACCAUUCCCUGGCUCACUACUGCUAGUGAUAGAUGGAGGGUACAGGUUCAAGGAAGAGCCCAGGGCCCUCUGCUGCAAGAAACAACAAGACCCACUAACAUGGUGAAAAACACUUAUGUGUUAAGGAUAUAGCUCCUUUUUAAAGGCAGGCCUCGGGAUCCCUGGGUGGUGCAGUGGUUUGGCGCCUGCCUUUGGCUCAGGGUGUGAUCCUGGAGACUCCGGAUCAAAUCCCACGUCGGGCUCCCGGUGCAUGGAGCCUGCUUCUCCCUCUGCCUGUGUCUCUGCCUCUCUCUCUCUCUGUGUGACUAUCAUAAAUAAAAGUUAAAAAAAAAAAAAAA
rnacentral:lncRNA from 1 species